CAGCAGCCACGGGAAUACGGAGGGGGCUAGCGUUGUUCGGAAUUACUGGGCGUAAAGCGCACGUAGGCGGCUUGGUAAGUUAGAGGUGAAAGCCUGGAGCUCAACUCCAGAAUUGCCUUUAAGACUGCCGAGCUAGCAGGUGAGAGAGGUAAGUGGAAUUCCGAGUGUAGAGGUGAAAUUCGUAGAUAUUCGGAAGAACACCAGUGGCGAAGGCGGCUUACUGGCUCAUACUGGACGCUGAGGUGCGAAAGCGUGGGGAGCAAACAGGAUUAGAUACCCCAGUAGUCCCUGUCUCUUAUAC
rnacentral:rRNA from 1 species